AGGAGAGCAAGCAAGGGUGGUGGUCUAGAAGUAUCAAGAGUGAGGAAUUUCUUGCAAGGAGAAGAGAAACUAUUUCAGAUGAAUUAGCAGAUGGUUCUGGACUUGCUUAGAAGAUGAGAGAUCUGUGGGGAAAAGAGACAUGGGGAAUUUCUAAAUAAAUAUGUUUGAAAUUUCAAACUGUGUGGAAUUUUAAAUUUCAGAAGUUUAUGAACUGUGUGAAAUUUUAUUUUAGAAGACUUGUGUUGUAAUAAAGCACUUAAUAUUUUAUUGGUGUUGAAAAUUGUUAAAGAAAAGUUAUA
rnacentral:sRNA from 1 species